CACAUGUGAACAAAUAGUUAUAAUCAUGUGAAUUAAUAGCAAUCAAUUGCUCAUUUAUCCGGUUAAAUACCCGAUUGGUAAAUAUAACCUCCAUACAUCAAUUAUUAUCGAAAUAAAUGUUGAUUUUCACUAACACAAAUAAUUCCAAAACAAUGAAACUAUUUUUAUCAACAAUAUAAAUUUUGAAAUUUCGAAGUUUGACUUUUCCCGAAAAAGUCAACUGUUGACUUUUUGACCAAAAAGUUAAUCCCGAAAAAUUUUGUGUUUAUAGACUAUUUUUACUAAUUUCAUCAUUUCGGACUCAAAUAUCACGUCCGCGUCUCUAAAUUCAACUUCGAACACAACUUCAAUUUUAAUAACAUUCAUCAUUAAUAUUAUAACUCACAAUAUUUAUCAACCAGGUCGUUCCCAGGAAAGAGGGGGCUUUCCAAUAAGGAUUUCUCCCUAUUGGCGCGCAAUUAGGUGACCAAACCUCUCCUUGACAGAACUUCUAGACAUUGUAAAUAUUGCAAUUUAAUAAUAUGAAUAACUUUGUCGUCUCAAUUAUUAAAUUAAUAAAAUAACAAAUAUAUUAUGCAGAUGAUACUGUGACAAUAAUCGAAUCAAUAAUAUGAGAGAUAUAAUGCAAUAAUUACUGUAGCAAUAAUUGAGUAUAACUGAUUGACUUCUCACGUAAGCAUUAAUAAUCAAUACCGUGUGCUACUAUGCAACCACGCGUAUUACUGUACUUUUACUACCGGGCAGUUCAACAGUAUUAACGGUAAAACCUCCGCCGUUAUUUUCAUAAAAUAUUUUUGUCAUUUUCUAACUACGAUAGUACUUCCGUUGUGGGGUUCACCAAUGAUUAUGUCAUCGUACGAAUAUUCCCCGAUAAAAAGAAUAUUAUAUAACAACUUGCGUACUUUGCAAAAUUUAUAAAUACUACCCACAACUAUAAUAUUAUAUCAAAUCCACACCAUAAUAUUAAAAAAUUUAUUUUGAGAAAAUUAAAUAUUUAUUCAUAAAAUCUGGGGUCUCAUAAUCUCCCCUCCUUAUGGAAUUUCGCCCUCAAAAUUUACGUAAGUACCUGGUAUGCUGAAGAGGUGAGGAUACCUCGUCAGAUUCUAACUCUUGAGGUAUAACCUUUGAGUGUUGAAUACUAUUCUUCUUAUCCAAGAUUUUAACAUGUAUCUCCUCAUACGUUAAAUCUUUUUCUAUCUCGUUCGGUUCUAAAUCAAUAAUGUGGUUCGGGUCCUCCACAUAUUUAUGUAAGAUUGAUAUGUUAAAAAUAUUAUGAACACGCGACACACUUGGCGAUAAAAUGAGUCUAUAGGCCAUAGUUCCUACUCGAUCGAGGAUUUCAAAUGGGCCAAUUAAAUCGAGGGUUGAGAUUUCCUCUCUUCAUCGAUUCUUGCUUCUAGAAUAACGCCCUCUUGAACCUUCUUAAUUCUUCAUAAUCAUCAGCUCUGAGUGUGUAGUUUGAGUGGCUUUAACUUUAUCGAUUAAAGUCAAUGCUAAUCGUAUAUUCGUUAUCUUGGUGUGGGUCCCUAGAGUCAUUAACUCUAUUUUCAUCAUUUGUAAGUUAUACAAAAUGAGUCUUUGUGUUAACAACAUCGCACUCGUAAACGCAUACGAUUUUUUACUCAACACGUCAGCUACCACAUUCGCUCUUCCACGAUGAUAUUGAAUGGUACGAUCAUAAUCUUCAACAGCUCGAGCCAACAUCUUUGGCGCAUGUUACGUUCAUUUUAGUUGAAGAAAUAUUUGAUGGUUUAAGAAAUGGGUUUUGUACUAGGGUCAAUAUAAAAUUUGAUUUCACGCUCUAGGGUAGGCUAAGAAGUCUUCAAGAAUACGUCAGGAAAUUUAUUAACAAUAGAAAUGUCAUUCAAAACUGUGACUCUCAUCCAAGACUUGGAUAGUACGUCACAUUGAUACCUAUCAACUUACCAUCGUCAUUCACGACAUCGCCUACAGAAAGUCUAGCUUCGGUGCAUUCCACACAAGGAAGUCAACAACGAAAGGCUCGGGGCUCUUUACUUAUGGCUUGAUAUGACAGUGAUUGACUUUAGUGGUUUGGUUACUUAAAAAGUUAGGAAUAUGAAAGCUAACAACAUUACGAAAAGUAUGAAGAGUAGUUAACCAAUCGAUUCCAAAAAUCACAUCUAUGCAAAUAUUUUUAAAGAGAUAAGAUCAACAGGUAACGUGAAAGUGUUGAUUUGAAUCAAACAAGAUUUAUAAAUAGUAGAGGUAACGAAGUUUUCUCCCAACUGAGUUUCAACAGAUAAAUCAAAGUCUAACUUCUCCGGAGUUAAAUUCAAACAUUGAACACAACUAAGUGAAAUAAAAGAGUGAGUAGAACCGGUAUCUAACACGGUAUAGACUUCGCAAAAGUUUAUGAUUAACUUACCCGUGAUAAUUUUAUCCAGGUUCCUCGUUACGAAAAAAAACACUCUCUCUUAAACUACCAGUUUUGGCUUGUCUGGGACAUCCUUUGGCAUCACUAUCCCAGUUGGACUUGACUUCACCAUACGACAAAAUCGAGCUAGGUGACCUUCUCUUCCGCAAUUAAAACACGCUUUGGAUUACUGCGUACAGUUUGGACGGAUGUGUCCCUCCUGUCCGCAUUUGAAAUAUACAACUGAUGAUCGUUCUUCUUCCUUUGAAACGGGUGUUGGUGCUGCUGUCUUUCCAUCAUUAUUGAACCUUCUUUUCUUGAAAUUUUCACUUCUAUUAUUUUGGCCAUGAUUACCACCGAAGUGGUUAUCAUUCUUGGCAUGAUAAUUUCCCCCACGAUGGUUAUCAUUGUUCCGAUGACUGUUGCCACCGGUACGAUUAUUAUCGUGUUGUUGGUCGUUGCCUUUUGGUUGUGCUGACUCAUUAUCGCACUCCAAUAACUGAGCCCUAUUCACAACAUCUGAAUAUAAACAAAGUUUGUGAGAAAUAAGAUAUUGACGUAUCUCAGGUUUUAAACCUCUUAGAAACAUUCGCGUCAUUCGCUCCUCAUUAUCGACUAAAUGGGAUGCAAACCAGGACAACUCUGCAAAUUUAGCAUCAUACUGCGACACGGUCAUAUUAUUUUGCUCCAGCUUGAUAAACUCCACCUCCUUCAUGUGACGAAUACUUUCGGGAAAGUACUUGUCGUUGAACAGCUCUUGGAACUUCUCCUAAGACAUCUUGAGUGCGUCAGUUUGGGUAUGUUUUACAGAUUCCCACCAAUGAUCUACUUCUUCACACAACAUAAAGGUGGCAAAGGAAAUCUUUUGCUCCUCGGAGCAUCCCAAGACAUCAAAUAUCUUGGUAAUCUGCUUUAACCACGUCUCCGCCUUAAGGGAUUCUGGCUUUCCCAAAAACUUCGGUGGUCUCAGCUCCUUGAACUGCUUAGCGGUGACCAACCGUGGGUUGCCAUUGUUUCCUCCUGCAUUAUGAACAGGAGCCGCCUUCGCCUGAUGUUGCAUGAAUUCUAAAAAGCUCCUAAACGUACAGUCGUUCGUCAAUUGAUCAGUGUUGUUGUUUACAGGAGGAUUAUCGACAUCCUAUUGCACAUUGUCCUGAUUAUUGAUCUGUGGAGACUCAACGGUCUCCUGUGCUCCAUUGCUAUUCUCAACAUUCUCGGAUGUCAUUUUCAAAUACUGCCACAAAACAAGGGUUAAUUAACAUAUCACAUAUUAUCCCUAUACUCUGACCGACCAAUUAAAUACCAAAUAAACUUAGGUAGGUCAUACUAGCGAAGGAAUUCCCCGUCUCUCCCCUCCUAGUUCUUGUCUCACAUCUCAGCCAGGGAUCAUAUCCCUAAGCUUUGAUACCAACUGUGACGCCCCCAAAAUAGGUAUACAUCACCCAUCUUGAGUCGCCAAAUACAUGGUACAAAAUUCAAAUACAACUUAAUUAUACAACAGUCGUGUAAAAUACGACAAAACAUAAUCUAAGAGUUUUAAUAAGAAUAUUGUCAUCUAGACAAUAUCCACACUCAAUGGAGUCCUCAUUACAUUUAUUGUCACACUAUUUAACAGAAUAGUGAGGACUACUAAUGCUAUCAUCUGGACCGUCACUCCGUUCCCCGACUAGUCCCGGCUACGUUCUCAUUUCCUGAAGAGAACAGUGAAAGAAAGGGUGAGCUCAACUAGCCCAGUAAGAAAUAUUAUGACUAAGAUAAUGCAGAAUAAAUUAUCAUUAGUCUUCAACAAUGUUAAACUGAUAAAAUACAAUAGACAUCAAGUUUAACUGCAGCGGAAUAAGCAAUCCAUUAGAAGAUUCAAGUAAAUUAUAAAAUCUACUAUCUUCUAUGAUUUAAAAAGAUUUAUCAACAAUUUUAUCGGUGAGACUCAGCUUAAUAAAUAAUCCCCAUCAUUAAAUCAUCCAUGCACUACAGGCCAAGGAUAUUCUUUAGUAUCACGACCACGAAUUAUCCAUGCACUACAGGCCAAAGAUAAUUGUGUUUUCAUCAACGGUCCUGAUCAUGCCAUAAAAUAAUUCAUCUUUGCACCCUUGGCCGAAGAGAAUCCAUAGCCAUAAUCAUACCAAAAACUGUCCAUCAAUGCACUACGGGCCAAUGAGGACUUUUUUACCACAUCAUUUGUAACAUUAUGGUCAUGAUUAUACCGAAUAAUCCCUGGUCAUAAUCAUACCAAGUCCAUCUAUGCACUACAGGCUACAGAUGACUUUCAAUAUAAUAUAAACAUGAGGAUGAUGACAAUGACAUAAUAAUUCAAUAAAACAAGUUCAAGAAUUAAUUUAUCCAGAAAUCAAUAACGUCCAAAUUGUCAACAUGAUACUGCUUUGUGGAGUAAAAUUCAAGAAUGCUCAGAAGAAUAUUUCCAUGAAAAGAUACUGGAUGAAGCGCAAAUAUCAAGGAUAUUCCACUAAUUUUAUGGAGUAUAGAAAUCAAAACUUUAAUCAAAUGAGUAUAAUAAAGAAUGUAAUAACAAAAGAAAUCACCAGGCAUGCGAUAGACAGCACAUGCAGGUUAUUCCAACAGAAUAAUAAAUAACGGAAUCAGGUCCGGCGUAAAACGCACAAACAGGAUAUUCCAACAGAAUAAAAAAGAUGGAAUUAGGUCCGGCGUAAAACGUACAGACAGGAUAUUCCAACAGAAUAAUAAAGACGGAACCAGGUCCGGCGUAGAACGCACAGACAGGAUAUUCCAACAGUAUAAUAAAGACGGAACCAGGUCCAGCGUAAAACGCACACACAGGAUGUUCCAACAGAAUGAUAAAUAAUGGAACCAGGUCCAGCGUAAACGCACAGACAGGAUGUUCCAGCAGAAUAAUAAAGAAUGGAAUAACAGAAGAAUUUCACCAAGUAUAGGGUAGCCCGUGUAUACCUGUUAUUCCAACAGAAUAAUAAACAAUAGAAUAACAGAAGUUCUCUUCAUGGAUAAGAAAGAAAUAAUACUCCCUACGAGUACAACAAAUAAUAUUCCCUACCUUAGAAAAACUGGAUACUGGAAUAGUGAGGUAGUAGACUUCUCUUCUUCUUUCUCUCUAUAAUAAUUGCUCUAAAGCUUUUGUGAAUUGGUGAGAAAUGAAGGAAGAAUGAGCUUCUAUUUAUAGAAAAAUAUAGUUUUGAUAAUUGCACGUUUUGGGGCUCAAAAAAUUACAGUACAAUACCUCCAACUUUUCNNNNNNNNNNNNNNNNNNNNNNNNNNNNNNNNNNNNNNNNNNNNNNNNNNNNNNNNNNNNNNNNNNNNNNNNNNNNNNNNNNNNNNNNNNNNNNNNNNNNNNNNCUUUCCAAUAAGGAUUUCUCCCUAUUGGCGCGCAAUUAGGUGACCAAACCUCUCCUUGACAGAACUUCUAGACAUUGUAAAUAUUGCAAUUUAAUAAUAUGAAUAACUUUGUCGUCUCAAUUAUUGAAUUAAUAAAAUAACAUAUAUAUUAUGCAGAUGAUACUAUGACAAUAAUCGAAUCAAUAAUAUGAAAGAUAUGAUGCAACAAUUACUGUAGCAAUAAUUGAGUAUAACUGAGUGACUUCUCACGUAAGCAUUAAUAAUCAAUACUGUGUGCUACUAUGCAACCACGCGUAUUACUACACUUUUACUACCGGGUAGUUCAACAGUAUUAACGGUAAAACCUCCGUCGUUAUUUUCAUAAACUAUUUUUGUCGUUUUCUAACUACGAUUGUACUUCCGUUGUGGAGUCCACCAAUGAUUAUGUCGUCGUACGAAUAUUCCCUGACAAAAAGAAUAUUAUAUAACAACUUGCGUACAUUGCAAAAUUUAUAAAUACUACCCACAACUAUAAUAUUAUAUCAAAUCCACACCAUAAUAUUAAAAAAAUUAUUUCGAGAAAAUUAAAUAUUUAUUCAUAAAAUCUGGGGUCUCACACCUUACCUCGUACAAUACCUACGUAUUAUACAAUCAUCGUUUAAUUCAUUAAUCACAUUUCCUUUCCUUCUCGUAAAUCAUUUUCCUUAAACGUUAGGUUUUAAGUCCACAGGCGAAAUAUUACGUUUUCCAUAACUGAAAUAUUAUUAGAUAUUCCAUCUCAC
rnacentral:lncRNA from 1 species